rnacentral:rRNA from 1 species
UGGGGAAUCUUCCGCAAUGGACGAAAGUCUGACGGAGCAACGCCGCGUGAGUGAAGAAGGUUUUCGGAUCGUAAAACUCUGUCUUUUGGGGCGAACGUGAGUAUGGUGAACAAUCAUAGUCAGUGACGGUACCAAAGGAGGAAGCCACGGCUAACUACGUGCCAGCAGCCGCGGUAAUACGUAGGUGGCAAGCGUUGUCCGGAAUUAUUGGGCGUAAAGAGCGCGUAGGCGGGAUAGUCAGUCUGUUGUAAAGUGCGGGGCUCAACCCCGUGAUCGCAAUGGAAACAGCUAUUCUUGAGUGCAGGAGAGGAAAGUGGAAUUCCCAGUGUAGCGGUGAAAUGCGUAGAUAUUGGGAGGAACACCAGUGGCGAAGGCGACCUUCUGGACUGUGUCUGACGCUGAGGCGCGAAAGCCAGGGGAGCGAACGGGAUUAGAUACCCCCGGUAGUCCUGGCCGUAAACGAUGGGUACUAGGUGUGGGAGGUAUCGACCCCUUCCGUGCCGGAGUUAACGCAAUAAGUACCCCGCCUGGGGAGUACGGUCGCAAGACUGAAACUUAAAUGAAUUGACGGGGGUC